rnacentral:lncRNA from 13 species
CACCCACUCUGUCAACACCACCUUAUAAGAUUGUCUGCUGUAGUUGAUCGAGAGAUGUCCCGUUUGCAGCCGAACAUGCAGCAUAGAGAAUACCAGCAAGAGGGCCCUCAUCAGCAUCAUCCAGACAUGCCCUUGCUGUGAGCAUUCCUAUGAACGGAACAGUCAGCCACAUGCUUGCAAGUAUCCAGCCAGCAACCGUCACGUGACAGCAGCAACAGCUUUCACAGGCUCAUAACUUGUACACAUUUUUUUUAUUGAACUUUUAUUUAACUAGGCAAGUCAGUUAAGAACAAAUUCUUAUUUACAAUGAUGGCCACCCAGGGAACAGCGAGCUAACUGCCUCGUUUAGGGGCAAAACGACAGAUUUUUACCUUGUCAGCUCAAGGAUUCGAUGCAGUAAACUUUCAGUUACUGGCUCAACGCUCUAACCACUAGGCUACCUGCCACCCCAAAUACAGAAGGCCACCCCAAAUACAGAAGUAUCUUUGAUGAAGGGCCAGAAUCUGAUCAACGCUGCUAUGGGGCUCUGACAAAGACUUCACCUCUUGCCUGCUCACCAACUGUCGUUGAUGGGGAGAACAGAAUUAGGUCGGUUUAGUCUGACCUGUUCAAACUUCCACAU